UUGAAAUGCUUAGGAGAUGAAGAAAUUUUUUGGCUUACUAAUCUUUUUAAUACUUUGCUGUAUCUUGUGGAACUUAUAACUGUGUACCCAACUUUUUUCUGAAUCUUUAUAAUUGACAGCUUGUGUUUGAUAGUAUGGGUAAGGUUGAGCUGAUCGUCUACGAGUUGGAACAUUGCACCCCAUUAUUUAUUAAAGGACUAAUUUGUGCUGCAUCUUUUGCAUCAAGAAGUCACCAGAGUUUGCAUAUUAUUUUUAUGGUAACAUUCUCUCUACACACACAUGCACAUACAUUCAAAUAUAGCAUGCGUAUUUGGAUAUUUAAAUGCAUAUAUGUAUGAUAUUCUACUUGCAAUCAAAUUUCUCUUAACUUGAAAUUUUUUUGGAUUUGUAUGGACAAUGAGGAGAAAUAUACAGAUGCUGAGACAUAUUUUUACAAUUAAUGGUUGAUAGUUAUGGAUGUCUUUUGUUUUCCUCAGUAUUGUAAUAAUUUUGAUUCUCUUGGAAGAAUUCUGCGGGUGAUCGCCAACAAGUGACUGAUCUUUGGAAAUCAGGUUUCUUAUACUCAUUUUUAGGGCUGCAAACAAACCGAGCCGAGCCGAGUAUGUGAGUGUUCAUGUUUGUGUUCAUUUAAUUUCAGCUUGUUCAAGUUUGGUUCAUGUUUGUUCGAGAUGUUUGGUUCAUUUAAAUUAAUGAGUGUUCAUGUUCGGUUCAUGUUCAGUUCGUUUAGUGCUUAUCGAGCUUUAAACAGACAAACAUGAACGAGUUAUAAACAAGCUUUACUUUCAUAUGUUCACUAACUUAACAAAUGAGCUUUAUCGAGCUUCCUAACAAACGAUUACAUCGAGCAUGUUCGCGAACAUAUUUAACGAAUUUUUUUAAACUAUAAAAGAAACACGUUCAUGAACAUAUAUAUGAACAAACACAUUUAUAAUAAAAGCAAUUGUCUAUGUAACAAAGGCAAUGAUUUAUAAGAAAAUCCCAUCUUCACAGAAUUUUCCUAACAGCAGCAUUAACAAAGGCAAUGAUUCAUAAAUAAAUAGUCAUAUAAAGCUACAAUUACUUAGACAUCAAGUUAAGUAAUAUUUGAUACCUGUAUUUGUCUGAAAGAAUGGAAAGGAGAAGCGUUCUAAAUCAAAUAUUAUUUAUUUUUAUCGAGCUUAUUCACGAGUUCAAAAUCGAACAUGAAUCGAGCUUUUAUCGUGCUUCUUAUUGAGCUCAAUGUCGAGCUUGUUCACGAGCUUCAAAUGAUGUUGUUCGCGAACAUAAAUGAGCCGAACACAUUAGUGUUCAAGUUUGUUUAUUUAAGAAUCGAAUAUUUAAAAUAUUGUUCAAGUUUGUUUGUUUAGUUAAUUAAACGAUCACAGACGAGCUUUAAUUGAAUCGAACAACGAGUAGCUCACCGAACGUUUGGUUCGCUUGCGGCCCUACUCAUUUUGUAAUGGCGAACAUCAAGGAUGGCCUGAAAAUUCUCUGGCAACCAAUGUUAUGCCUAUUUAUGCUUGAGGUGAGAGGACCUUUAGAAAACUGCUAAUUUAUUUAUUUUUUUGUUGGAAUCUAGCAGUCAUAUUGUGCUCACUCUCUCUCUCUCUCUCUUUCAUAAAGCAUGGUGCAGUAACCCUAUUAACUUGUUGAGUUUUUUUUUUUGUUACAUAGAUAUUAGAUUUUUUAUGGAGAAGCCUAGAGAGUAAGGAGAAUCUAAAUAUGUUAUUUAUUGAUUUAGAGAAAUCAUAUGAUAAAUUUUCAAGAGAAAUGACCUGGAGAGUUCUAGAAAAGAAAGGUGUUUAUAAUGCUUAUAUUGAAGUCAUUAAGGGUAUAUAUACAUGUGCUAUUACUUGUGUUCAAAUAAAAGGUGGUUUGAUCAAGUUUUUCCUAGUUUAGUUGGAUUACAUCAAAUAUCAGCUUUAAGCCCGUAUCUUUUUUCUUUUGUCAUGGAUGUUUUUUUAGACAUUUUGCAAAGGAUGUACCUUGGUAGGCUUUUGGUUGAUGAUUUUUUACUUGUUGAUAUGAUUGGAGAGGGAGUUGAAAAACUUGAAUUAUGGAGGUGAACCUUAGAGUGUAAAUGUUUUCAUUUGACUAGAUCUAAAACCAAAUACAUUGUGUGUAAUUUAAGUAGUAAUACAUCUUGUUGUGGGAUUGUGACUUUGAGUGAUCAAGUCCUUAAAAAAAGUGCACAUAUUAGAUAUCUCAGGAUAAUCGUUCAAAGAGAUGAUUAAAUAUAUGGGGAUAUUAUUUGUAGAAUUCAAAUUGGAUUGCUAAAGUGGAGGAAUGCAUUAGGGCUGUUGUGUGAUAGAAAAGUAUCCCUCAAGUUAAAAGUUAAAAGUACCAAUUUAGUUUAUGUAUCAGCAUCCUUGUAAAGUUAAAGUACCAAUUUAGUUUAUGAAUAGCAGCAAUUUACUUUAUGAGCUACAAGUACUUUUGUGUCAUUGAAAGUGGAUUCCUAAUUUUUUAUUCUUCAUUUCUUUUGUCCUUGCUUUAUGGAGCUGGUCAUUAAAAUAAUUGCAAAACUUAUCUCCAUGCAUUCCAUAUUAUUAUUUCGGACAAAUUAAAUGGGUAAAAUCUCUUGUCAUUUCUUGUUUAUUUUCUCGCAUCUUUCUACAUUUUUAGUUAAAGCCCUUACAAAACUUUUUUUUUUCCUUUGAUUUUAUUUUUUUUAUACUAAUUCUUCCCAUGUUUGCGCGGGAAUUAAAUCUGCUAUUGUAACAAGUCAAGUUUCUUUCCUUUGCAGUAGCUUGUGGAUCUUAUAACUGUGUACCCAACUUUUUCUGAAUCUUUAUUGUUGACAGAUUGGGUUGGACAGUUUGGGUAAGGUUAAGCUGAUCUUCAACGAGUUGGAACAUUGCACCCCAUUAUUUAUUUAAGGACUAAUUUGUGCUGCAUCUUUUGCCUCAAAAAGUCACAAGACUUUGCAUAUUAUUUGUAUGGGAACAUUCUCUUUGAUCAAGAAAAACCAAUGGUCUAAUUAUAAUGGCAUUGUUUCCUAUGUUAUAUAUAAACUAGUGGCUCUUGGGGAGGUUUAGAGAUUGCACGAGUUGCUUCUUCGGCUCCUUUGUUUCCGUUCGACUUCGCUCCAUCGACGAAUUUCCCUUCCUGAGGAUUGGGCGUUACAACAUUUUGAUUAGAAGCAAUGACGGUAGUUCACUCGCUGUGAAGUUAAUUUUCUCCCUUUCGUGCGUUUCUUUGGUGAAAUUUUAUAAAUCCUCCGAACUACAGGAUUGAGUAAAUCCGGGUUUUAUGGCAAAAAGAAGGGAACAAAGGAUUUGUUCCGCUGUGAAACCGUUUGGCAGGAUUUUGCAUAAAUCCUGCAUAAAUCUUGUUGCCACACAGCCCCUAAGUGUUGAUGCCGUGAUGCAUUGACUAUUCGAGUCUUCCAUAGUUGAGUUUUCAUAUCUUUAAUUGAGAACUAUGAGGCAUUAAAGAUGACCUGUUAUCUGCAAGUGGUGUCUUUGGAUAUCUCUUUAUUGUUGCUCCAUGCAACAGCAUUGGGAAUUCAGAUGGAUUUGAAUACAUCAUAGAAAAAGCCACCUGCAGUCAAAUUGCAUGAUAUACUUCUUGCAAUCAAAUUGCCCUUAACUUGAAAAAGUAUUGGAUUGGUGUGGACAAUGCGGAGAAAUAUUUGCAUGGUGAGUCAUAUUUUUACACUUAAUUGCUAUAGUGGUAGUUGUCAUUUGUUUUCCUCAGUUAUGUAAUCAUUGAGAUUUCGCUUGGAAGAAUUUUGCUGGUAGGUGCCAACAAAUGACUAAUCUUUUGUAAAUAAACUUUUGCAUACUCAUUUUGCAUUGGCGAACAUCGAGGAUGGCCUGAAAUAUCUCAGGCAACUAGUGUUAUGAUUUUCCAUAUUUAUUCUUAAGGUGAGGGGACUUUUAGAAAGCAGGUUAUUUAUUUUCUAUUGGAAUUUAUUAGUCAUGUUGCCCUCUCUCUUUCUUUCUGUGAAGUACGGUCUAUGUUGCAUCGAUACACCUAUUUAUGAAGGCAUGUUGUAUUCGAUACACCGUUACGCGCAUACGCCUCCGAUACGGAACCGGAACUGAUCUUCUACAGUUCAAGUUUACUUAUACUCAUUUUGCAAUGGCGAACAUCAUGGAUGGCUUGAAAAUUUUCAGGCAACCGAUGUUAUGAUUAUUCCUAUUUAUGCUUGAGUUUGGAGGGCUUUUAGGAAGCUGAUUAUUUAUUUGUUAGUGUGGGAAUUCAAUAAUCAUAUUGUACUCUUUCUCCUUCCCUGAAGCAGGAUGCAGUUUCUAUGGUGAUUUGAGGUUAUAUAUAUAUAUAAAUUCUCGGCAUAUUUUACAGGCAAUCCGGGUGCACUUCCUUUCCUUAUGCAUUACCUUAGAAAUUAAAUAGCCCCUAUCUCCAUUCUAUUUCUCAUUUUGGAAAAUUGUCACAAUCCGCCCAUAUGAAUGAAAAAUUUAUAUUGCACGGAUGGGGGAUUAUAUUGUUCUUUUACAGAUGGAAGACUUAUCAUGUUUAGUUUGCUGUGAUUUUCUCUUCUAUGAGUGAGUUGUGAUGGGAAUAAUGCCCCGAUGAUUUAGAAUUUAGCCUACGCUGACCUUAAAGCAGAACCGCCUUGGGAGAGCAGUGCAGUUAGAACAGUGAGAGAUUGAAAAGUUAAAAUGUCAUGAAUAUUGUAUUAUUAUGUCUGCUUAUAAAGUUUUGCUGCUCGGUUGAUGUUAAUGCAUAUCCUAUCUCUUCUCUUGUAUUGAUUGGAGCUACAUGAGGGAAAAAUAAGGCAGCAUUUAGAGAUAAGGCAAAUUAGCAUAUAUUUGAAAUUUAUAGUGGGAUUAAGAGAGAGAUAGUGUAUUUCACAUGACCUGAUUGUGAUUCUUAUUUUUGUUGGUAUCAAGGAAUUGUUGAUCCUCUUGUUUUCUU